AAUAGAUACCCGGGUAGUCCACGCCGUAAACGAUGAGUGCUAAGUGUUAGAGGGUUUCCGCCCUUUAGUGCUGAAGUUAACGCAUUAAGCACUCCGCCUGGGGAGUACGGCCGCAAGGCUGAAACUCAAAGGAAUUGACGGGGGCCCGCACAAGCGGUGGAGCAUGUGGUUUAAUUCGAAGCAACGCGAAGAACCUUACCAGGUCUUGACAUCCUCUGACAACCCUAGAGAUAGGGCUUCUCCUUCGGGAGCAGAGUGACAGGUGGUGCAUGGUUGUCGUCAGCUCGUGUCGUGAGAUGUUGGGUUAAGUCCCGCAACGAGCGCAACCCUUGAUCUUAGUUGCCAUCAUUUAGUUGGGCACUCUAAGGUGACUGCCGGUGACAAACCGGAGGAAGGUGGGGAUGACGUCAAAUCAUCAUGCCCCUUAUGACCUGGGCUACACACGUGCUACAAUGGACGGUACAAAGAGCUGCAAGACCGCGAGGUGGAGCUAAUCUCAUAAAACCCGUUCUCAGUUCGGA
rnacentral:rRNA from 1 species